GUGCUCACUCCGGCAGCACAUACACUCAAAUUGGAACGAUACGGAGACGGUUAGCAUGGCCCCUGUGCAAGGAUGACAUGCAAAUUCAUGAAGCAUUCCAUAUUUUU